rnacentral:rRNA from 1 species
CAGCAGCCGCGGUAAUACGAAGGGGGCUAGCGUUGCUCGGAAUGACUGGGCGUAAAGGGCGCGUAGGCGGUUUUGACAGUCAGAUGUGAAAUUCCUGGGCUUAACCCGGGGGCUGCAUUUGAGACGUCAAGACUAGAGUGUGAGAGAGGGUUGUGGAAUUCCCAGUGUAGAGGUGAAAUUCGUAGAUAUUGGGAAGAACACCGGUGGCGAAGGCGGCAACCUGGCUCAUUACUGACGCUGAGGCGCGAAAGCGUGGGGAGCAAACAGGAUUAGAGACCCCGGUAGUCCCUGUCUCUUAUAC